GCGAAUAUUUGUUUGGAAAGUGUCGUUGCCUCAGAACCCGCAUACGAUACUUAUUUAAUUGCGCUGUAGUUUUAAUAGAAAGGACAGUUAUAUUAACCGUAUGUUAGUGUUUUCAUUUUUGCCUCUCCUGGGCACAUCUUUUAAUGUGAAAUACAGUUGAUGUUGAACUAAUCAUCAUUACUUUAAUGCAAAUGAACGCACCUCUCUAACCUUAAUCGGAAUGAAAAUGGAUCGGAUUAAAUUGAAGAACGCAAAGGUCUCAAAGUCUACCGUCAAACAGUCGUCCACCAAGACCGAAGCCUGGAGCAGACCCAGUCUACCCCUCCCCGUCCUCUCCCCCAUCAAGAGGAGCGUCCUGGCAGUUGUGGAAAACAUUCUACCCCUCUCUCCAGAUCUCCUUCUGGCCAUCCCCGAGACCCCCGACAGCCAAAUCAGGCCCUCCUCAGCCAGAGUCCCUGGCCCGAGCCCCAACCCCAGCGCCGAGGCAUCCAGUCUGGGGGGGUCCCCUCUUUGUCGAAGCCCCAGCUCCAGACGAGUGGACAUGCGGCGGAAAAUGAGACUGGACGGAGAGCGGGAGAACCUGUCCGAGGAGGCGGUGGGAUCGGGGAAGCGGCUCUUCAGUCCAGAAGACUCCCACGCCGCCAAGAGGCCCAGAACUGGCGACGUACCAGCGAUCCACCGCUGGGCCGGAAGCAAAGCCUCCACCCCCGUUGAAACCCUACCUGCCAAGCAAUGCCUUACCGAAGGCCGCUUUGAGACGGAGGGGCCAGAAAGGAUUCAAAGUUCAGAGCUCUCCUCUCGCAGAUCUAACCAGGUGACCCUGAUCGGUGUUCAGCAGAACACCGUGGCCUCGCCAACGCCCCUCUCUGAGAUGGGCGGUCUUCCCCGAGAGGAGUCUGUGUUUACGCUCAUCAUGGAUCAGAGGGACACCAACCCGGCGGAGGUCGGCGCGCUGGCGCCCUCACCGCAGCGGACCAUGCGCGCUCCCAGCACGGCAGGUGGUGCAGACGGAGCUAACCCGUCCAGCCUCGCCGUGACGGCGCAUAUCGACGACCUCGGCAAGGGAGCGAC
ensembl:lncRNA